rnacentral:rRNA from 1 species
GAUGAACGCUGGCGGCGUGCCUAAUACAUGCAAGUCGAGCGAACGGACGAGAAGCUUGCUUCUCUGAUGUUAGCGGCGGACGGGUGAGUAACACGUGGAUAACCUACCUAUAAGACUGGGAUAACUUCGGGAAACCGUAGCUAAUACCGGAUAAUAUCUUGAACCGCAUUGUUCAAAAGUGAAAGACGGUCUUGCUGUCUCUUAUAGAUGGAUCCGCGCUGCAUUAGAUAGUUGGUAAGGUAACGGCUUACCAAGGCAACGAUGCAUGGCCGACCUAAGAGGGUGAUAGGCCACACUGGAACGGGGACACGGUCCUGAGGCCUAAGGGAGGCACCAGAAGGGAAUGUGCCGCAAUGGGCGAAAGCCUGACGGAGCAAGGCCGCGUGAGAGAUGGAGGUCUUCGGAUCGUAAAACCCUGUUAUUAGGGAAGAACAUAUGUGUAAGUAACUGUGCACAGCGUGACGGUACCUAAUCAGAAAGCCACGGCUAACUACGUG